GUGGGGCUGGGGCUCAGUGGUAGAGUGCUCGCCUAGCAUGUGUGAGGCACUGGGUUCGGUUCUGGGCACCACA
rnacentral:tRNA from 1 species